GACGAACCGUGCGAACGUUAUUCGGAAUCACUGGGCUUAAAGCGCGUGUAGGCGGGGCGGCACGUCGGUCGCUGAAAGCCCCCGGCUCAACCGGGGAACGGGCGCCGAUACGACCGCCCUCGAGGGACGUAGGGGGACCUGGAACUUCCGGUGGAGCGGUGAAAUGCGUUGAGAUCGGAAGGAACGCCCGUGGCGAAAGCGAGGCCCUGGACGUCUGCUGACGCUGAGACGCGAAAGCCAGGGGAGCGAACGGG
rnacentral:rRNA from 1 species